rnacentral:rRNA from 1 species
AUUGAACGCUGGCGGCAGGCUUAACACAUGCAAGUCGAGCGAGCGGCGGAGGGGUGAGUAAUGUCUGGGAAACUGCCUGAUGGAGGGGGAUAACUACUGGAAACGGUCGCUAAUACCGCAUACCAUCAGAUGUGCCCAGAUGGGAUUAGCUAGUAGGUGGGGUAAUGGCUCACCUAGGCGACGAUCCCUAGCUGGUCUGAGAGGAUGACCAGCCACACUGGAACUGAGACACGGUCCAGACUCCUACGGGAGGCAGCAGUGGGGAAUAGUGCACAAUGGGCGAAAGCCUGAUGCAGCCAUGCCGCGUGUAUGAAGAAGGUCUUCGGGUUGUAAAGUACUUUCAGCGGGGAGGCGUUACCCGCAGAAGAAGCACCGGCUAACUCCGUGCCAGCAGCCGCGGUAAUUC